rnacentral:rRNA from 1 species
AUGUUUACAAGUUCCCUUUGUUCAAACAUGGAAAUGAUUUAUUUGCAAAAUUCAAUGCAAAACGGUGCCGCAUCUAGAUUAUUGGUAUCUUCUCUUUUUCUUUUCUUGGGAGAGGUUUCUUCUAUGCUUGUUUCGACCAUUGGAAUUUUCAAAGACCACCGCCGCAAGAACAUGUCACUGGAGGCUCAAGAUACAAGGCCCAGCUGGAAGAGACAUCUUCCCAAGGGCUGGUUAUACAACUCUAAAAGAGGAGCUUGCUAUGGCCAUCCAGGGUCCAGGGCGAUUACAUACGCGGCGAAUGCAGAUGCAUAUGGUAAGCUCCGUGUCGACAUGACGAACCAGCACCAGUUGGGAGCCCGGAUGAAGAAGGCUGCCGAUGGGAGAAAGAGGAGAAGCGAUGGGAUGUUUGUGGCAGCUUAUGGAUGA